AGAGUUUGAUCAUGGCUCAGGAUGAACGCUAGCUACAGGCUUAACACAUGCAAGUCGAGGGGCAGCAUGGUCUUAGCUUGCUAAGGCCGAUGGCGACCGGCGCACGGGUGAGUAACACGUAUCCAACCUGCCGUCUACUCUUGGACAGCCUUCUGAAAGGAAGAUUAAUACAAGAUGGCAUCAUGAGUCCACAUGUUCACAUGAUUAAAGGUAUUCCGGUAGACGAUGGGGAUGCGUUCCAUUAGAUAGUAGGCGGGGUAACGGCCCACCUAGUCUUCGAUGGAUAGGGGUUCUGAGAGGAAGGUCCCCCACAUUGGAACUGAGACACGGUCCAAACUCCUACGGGAGGCAGCAGCGAGGAAUAUUGGUCAAUGGGCGAGAGCCUGAACCAGCCAAGUAGCGUGAAGGAUGACUGCCCUAUGGGUUGUAAACUUCUUUUAUAAAGGAAUAAAGUCGGGUAUGCAUACCCGUUUGCAUGUACUUUAUGAAUAAGGAUCGGCUAACUCCGUGCCAGCAGCCGCGGUAAUACGGAGGAUCCGAGCGUUAUCCGGAUUUAUUGGGUUUAAAGGGAGCGUAGAUGGAUGUUUAAGUCAGUUGUGAAAGUUUGCGGCUCAACCGUAAAAUUGCAGUUGAUACUGGAUAUCUUGAGUGCAGUUGAGGCAGGCGGAAUUCGUGGUGUAGCGGUGAAAUGCUUAGAUAUCACGAAGAACUCCGAUUGCGAAGGCAGCCUGCUAAGCUGCAACUGACAUUGAGGCUCGAAAGUGUGGGUAUCAAACAGGAUUAGAUACCCUGGUAGUCCACACGGUAAACGAUGAAUACUCGCUGUUUGCGAUAUACUGCAAGCGGCCAAGCGAAAGCGUUAAGUAUUCCACCUGGGGAGUACGCCGGCAACGGUGAAACUCAAAGGAAUUGACGGGGGCCCGCACAAGCGGAGGAACAUGUGGUUUAAUUCGAUGAUACGCGAGGAACCUUACCCGGGCUUAAAUUGCAGAUGAAUUACGGUGAAAGCCGUAAGCCGCAAGGCAUCUGUGAAGGUGCUGCAUGGUUGUCGUCAGCUCGUGCCGUGAGGUGUCGGCUUAAGUGCCAUAACGAGCGCAACCCUUGUUGUCAGUUACUAACAGGUUCUGCUGAGGACUCUGACAAGACUGCCAUCGUAAGAUGUGAGGAAGGUGGGGAUGACGUCAAAUCAGCACGGCCCUUACGUCCGGGGCUACACACGUGUUACAAUGGGGGGUACAGAGGGCCGCUACCACGCGAGUGGAUGCCAAUCCCAAAAACCUCUCUCAGUUCGGACUGGAGUCUGCAACCCGACUCCACGAAGCUGGAUUCGCUAGUAAUCGCGCAUCAGCCACGGCGCGGUGAAUACGUUCCCGGGCCUUGUACACACCGCCCGUCAAGCCAUGGGAGCCGGGGGUACCUGAAGUGCGUAACCGCGAGGAGCGCCCUAGGGUAAAACUGGUGACUGGGGCUAAGUCGUAACAAGGUA
rnacentral:rRNA from 1 species